rnacentral:rRNA from 1 species
AUGGCCGUCUCGCCUCUUGCUCUCCUGCUCCUCCUCCUCGCCUUCGCCGUAUCUCUCCUGUACAUCCUCCGUAGGCCCGCCCCUCUGCGCAGCGGCAGCGAUGGAGGACGGAGGCAUCCUCCGCCGUCGCCGCGCGGCCUCCCGCUGCUCGGCCACCUACAUCUCCUCGGCUCGUUGCCGCACCGGGCCCUGCGGUCCCUGGCCGCCGCGCACGGCCCGGUCCUGCUGCUCCGGCUCGGCCGCGUGCCCGCCGUGGUCGUGUCCUCGCCGGCCGCCGCGGAGGAGGUGAUGAAGGCCCGCGACCUGGCCUUCGCGAGCCGGCCCCGCAGCGCCAUGGCCGACCGGCUCCUCUACGGGCGCGACGUAGCGUUCGCGCCCUACGGCGAGUACUGGCGCCAGGCGCGCCGCGUGUGCGUGGUCCACCUCCUCAGCCCGCUCCGCAUCCUCUCCUUCCGCGGCGUCCGGGAAGAGGAGGCCGCCGCGCUGGUCGAGCGCGUCUGCGGAGCGGGGGCGGGCGGCGCCGUCGUGGACCUGUGUGAGCUCCUCGUCGCCUACGCCAAUACGGUGGUCUCGCGCGCCGCGUUCGGGGACGACAGCGCGCGCGGCCUGUACGAGGAAGGCAACAAGGGACGCGAGCUGAGGAAGGUGUUCAACGACUUCCAGGAGCUGCUCGGCACGGCGCCUGUGGGGGAGCUCUUGCCGUGGCUGGGGUGGUUGGACGCCGUGAGGGGGAUGGAGGGGAAGAUCAGACGGACGUUCAAGGCGCUCGACGGUGUGCUCGAGAAGGUGAUCGACGACCACCGCCGCCGGCGUCAAGCCGGCCAGCAGACGGGAGAUGACGGCGGCGAUCACAGGGAUUUCGUGGACGUGUUGUUGGACGUGAACGAGACCGACAAUGACGCUGGCAUGCGGCUCAACACGACCGAAAUCAAGGCCAUCAUCUUGGACAUGUUCGCGGCGGGCACGGACACCACAAGCACGGCAAUGGAGUGGGCCAUGGCGGAGCUCAUCACGAAUCCGGACAGCAUGCGCAAGCUCCAGGACGAGAUCAGGGCGGCCGUCGGUGGCUCCGUGCACGUCAUCACCGAGGACCACCUCCACAAGCUGCACUACCUCAAGGCCGUGGUAAAGGAGACGCUACGCCUGCACCCACCGAUCCCGCUCCUCGUGCCCCGAGAGCCGCAAAACGACGCCGAGAUACUCGGCCACCACGUCCCGGCGGGCACGCGGGUCGUCAUCAACGCGUGGGCCGUCGGCCGGGACCCGGCGGCGUGGGAGCGCGCCGAGGAGUUCGCGCCUGAGAGGUUUCUCGACGGCGCGGUGGACUACAAGGGGCAGGACUUCCAGCUGAUACCGUUCGGUGCUGGGCGGAGGGGGUGCCCCGGGGUCGGAUUCGCCGCGCCGACCAUUGAGAUGGCGCUGGCGAGCUUGAUGUACCAUUUCGACUGGGAGCCGGCUGGCGGGGCGUCGCUGGACAUGCGCGAGGUGAACGGGCUCGCCGUGCGGCUCAAGUCCGGCCUGCCGCUUGUCGCUAAACCGCGGUUUCGUUAG